AUUGAACGCUGGCGGCAUGCCUUACACAUGCAAGUCGAACGGCAGCACGGGGCAACCUGGUGGCGAGUGGCGAACGGGUGAGUAAUGCAUCGGAACGUACCUUUCAGUGGGGGAUAACGUAGCGAAAGUUACGAUAAUACCGCAUAUUCAGUGAGCAGGAAAGCAGGGGAUCGCAAGACCUUGCGCUGAUUGAGCGGCCGAUGUCAGAUUAGCUAGUUGGUGAGGUAAAGCCUCACCAAGGCGAGGAUCUGUAGCGGGUCUGAGGGGAUGAUCCGCCACACGGGAACGGAGACACGGUCCAGACUCCGACGGGAGGCAGCAGUGGGGAAUUUUGGACAAUGGGGGCAACCCUGAUCCAGCCAUGCCGCGUGAGUGAAGAAGGCCUUCGGGUUGUAAAGCGCUUUCGGCCGGGAAGAAAUCGCACGGGCUAAUACCCUGCGUGGAUGACGGUACCGGAAUAAGAAGCACCGGCUAACUACGUGCCAGCAGCCGCGGUAACAC
rnacentral:rRNA from 1 species